CUACCCUUGACAUGCUAGGAAGCUCGCAGAGAUGUGAGUGUGCCCGAAAGGGAACCUAGACACAGGUGCUGCAUGGCUGUCGUCAGCUCGUGUCGUGAGAUGUUGGGUUAAGUCCCGCAACGAGCGCAACCCUUGCCAUUAGUUGCUACAUUCAGUUGGGCACUCUAAUGGGACUGCCGGUGACAAACCGGAGGAAGGUGGGGAUGACGUCAAGUCCUCAUGGCCCUUAUGGGUAGGGCUUCACACGUAAUACAAUGGUAGGUACAAAGGGCAGCCAACCCGCGAGGGGGAGCUAAUCCCAGAAAGCCUAUCGUAGUCCGGAUUGUAGUCUGCAACUCGACUGCAUGAAGCCGGAAUCGCUAGUAAUCGUGGAUCAGCAUGUCACGGUGAAUACGUUCCC
rnacentral:rRNA from 1 species